ACGUGGCUGGCUUAGUUCGUAGAGCAUGUGACUCUUGAUCUUGGGGCAGUAGGUUCGAGUCCCAUGUUGCGUG
rnacentral:tRNA from 1 species